CUAUAAGACAAUUGACCAUCUCCAAUAUCUAGAACUUUCAGAUAAGGGAAUGAGGGUACUUCGGACAAAAAUCAAGAUGUUCGAUGUAAACCAGCUCUUUUGAGAUUCUUACCCACAUGAUUUUUCUUUCUCUCUAUAGGAUCUUUAGUUUCAGUUUGUCUAAAUCUGCCUUCUUCUUCCUCUGUAAUGCAAAGAGAUGACUCGCUCAAGGAUCCAACACCCUCCUCGUCCGUGAUGAUGAGACGACACCAUUCUGGACGUGUUUUCUCCAUCUCCUCCUGGUCCAUCAUUCUUCUUGUUGUCCAUGUCCUUGGAACCCGAUACAGGUCCAGAUACGAAAGACAUCAAUCAAUUCAACUCGCUUCUCCCUCAAGCCUUGAGACUCCAAGUGUCAAAAUAUCGGUGCAUGUCCCUCUUCCCACUCCUUAAUCCAUAUUUUAUAACCAGAAAAGGUGGUGGAUAGAUAUAAUUUACAAUCGCUGGUGAUUUCAAAACAUCAGGGUCUGGAACAUUGAAGCAUAACUGAUUGAUUUUGGUGAAACGCAACUGGAGAGAAAAAUUGAUAUUGGCAUAAGGUGCUUACCAUAACAUCAUAGAUGAAACAAAUGAAAGUCCUUUGAAGGAGAGCGUAACCAGCGAGACCCAUUUCACUGUUGUGACCCAAGAAAGCUUGAGCUACCACUACGCAGCCAAACGACAUCACUCUGAACAAAGACGAUGUUAUGAGCAAGAGAUUUUACCUGAUUGCUUCACACAGUAUUCAACAGGGAGCUUCUCUUAACUAUGUGUCCAUGCCUCUUUAUGUUUCAAGUACAUGGACGGCACCAGAUUGAAAGAAAUGUUAAACAAUAACAUGAGAUGUGCACAAGUGUGUAAAUUCAACGGUAGAGUUCGUGAGUAUUGUUUGUCAUAACAUGCUUGUAUAGUGGAGUAAGUGUCUUUGGUACGUGUAAAUUCAUUAGUUUAUCUUGAUGAAUAAGACUUGGAAAUGUUAAUGUCAAAAUGUCUCCAAGUACAAUGGAAUAAAACUUGGAGACAUCUUGGAUCCAAUUUCUUAGGAGAACUGGUGCCAAUAGGUGUGAUAGGAAGCUUAAGUUUAGUUGUAAAGAAUAUGUUUGUAUAGACCAAUAUGACAUAUCGUUUUGCACAGGUAUGGUAAUAAGCUUGAGUUUAAUUAUCGAGACUAUGCUUGUAUAGAGCAAUAUGACAUUAUUUUGAACCGAAAGACAUAUUGUCAUGAACAAACGUAACUACAAUAUAAUGUCAUUCUACUUAAUUGGGAAACGUUUUGUUUAUA